UUUUGAGAUGGGUUCUUGCUCUGUCACCCAGGCUGGAGUACAGUGAUGCCAUCACAGCUCACUGCAGACUCCACCUCCUGGGCUCAAACAAUCCUCCCACCUCAGCCUCCUGAGUAGGUCGGACGACAGGCAUGCACCACCAUGCCCUGCUAAUUUUUUCUAUUUUUAUUUUUAUUUUUUUGUAGAAACGAGGUUUAACUAUGUUGCCCAGGCUGGUCUUGAACUCCUGAGCUUAAGCAAUCCACCCACUGCAGCCUCCCAAAAUGCUCAGAUUACAGGAGUGAGCCACUGCACCCAGCCAAUUUUUUAUUAUUUGAAGGAGGGUCCAAAAUUUGUGUAAAUGUCCACCUCACCUCAAAAAACUAGUUCUGCCCCUGGCUGUGGUCUUAAGUAGAGAAAUAUAAGUACUUCUGAAGGAGAUCUUGGCAAUGGGGAAACUAGAGGUAUACAUAUACCCUGACCUUUUUAUCCUGCUACCUUCUGAUCUUCAAACCCAAACAGAAGCCAGAGAUUAAGGGAGCCCUUAUACUUCAGUCCAUAGAGUUCGGCCUCUCUGGACAUAAGCAGGUUGGUGAAGAGACAAGCAGAACAUAUCCAGCAUUGUGAAGAACCUCAGUGGUUGCCAUGAAAACCUCAAUGGUUGCCAUGAGAACUUCAGUGGUUGCCAUAAUGGGUCUUCCACUAGAAUGACACCCAGAGACACGCUACCUGUGCCCAUCCCCACUCAUUCUUCUCCACUGGAAAUGGAAUGACAUGCAAGUACUGCCUCUGGGAGAAGGAAGUGAGUAUGGAAGGAUCAGCUCCUUCUGAGCUCUCUUCUAUUGGUGCCUGACUGUCUGCCUGGCUGCAGAGAGGGCUUGUCCUGUGUGUGCUCAGGCCAUAUGGCCCAUGGUUCUCCAGCUGUGCCAGCAAAUGGGAUCUUGUCUGCCAAUCUAGGGCCAAGACAGAAGAAUGCUCGCUUGAGAAUCUGGUUUGGAUGGACUGAAAUAGGGUUCCUUCCAGCUCUACUUGAUGGUAGUAAUAAUGACAGUAAUAAUAAACAGCAUUAUUAUUAUGACCUAGUCCAACCCCUAUAUUCUACAGUCAUUCUAACUGGAGUAAGAUGAUAGGCUAAAUUAGG
rnacentral:lncRNA from 1 species